UACGGAGGGUGCAAGCGUUAUCCGGAUUCACUGGGUUUAAAGGGUGCGUAGGCGGCUAUAUAAGUCAGUGGUGAAAGCCCGCAGCUCAACUGCGGAAUGCCAUUGAAACUGCAUAGCUUGAAUCUGGUUGAAGUGGGCGGAAUACAUCAUGUAGCGGUGAAAUGCUUAGAUAUGAUGUAGAACACCGAUUGCGAAGGCAGCUCACUAAGCCAACAUUGACGCUGAGGCACGAAAGCGUGGGUAGCGAACAGG
rnacentral:rRNA from 1 species